rnacentral:rRNA from 1 species
GAUGAACGCUGGCGGCGUGCCUAAUACAUGCGAGUCGAGCGAACGGACGAGAAGCUUGCUUCUCUGAUGUUAGCGGCGGACGGGUGAGUAACACGUGGAUAACCUACCUAUAAGACUGGGAUAACUUCGGGAAACCGGAGCUAAUACCGGAUAAUAUUUUGAACCGCAUGGUUCAAAAGUGAAAGACGGUCUUGCUGUCACUUAUAGAUGGAUCCGCGCUGCAUUAGCUAGUUGGUAAGGUAACGGCUUACCAAGGCAACGAUGCAUAGCCGACCUAAGAGGGUGAUCGGCCACACUGGAACUGAGACACGGUCCAGACUCCUACGGGAGGCAGCAGUAGGGAAUCUUCCGCAAUGGGCGAAAGCCUGACGGAGCAACGCCGCGUGAGUGAUGAAGGUCUUCGGAUCGUAAAACUCUGUUAUUAGGGAAGAACAUAUGUGUAAGUAACUGUGCACAUCUUGACGGUACCUAAUCAGAAAGCCACGGCUAACUACGUG